rnacentral:lncRNA from 1 species
CUCACUCUGUCACCCAAGUUGGAAUGCAGCAGCAUGAUCACAGCUCAUUGCAGCCUUGACUUCCCAGUCUCAAGCAAUCCUCCCAUCUCAGCCUCUUGAGUAGCUGGGACCACAGGCACACACCACCAUUUAGCCAGGCGUGGUGGUGUGUGCCUGUGGUCCCAGCUACAGUGUCUCUCUAUAUUGUCCAGCCUUGUCUCGAACUCCUGGGCUCAAGUAAUCUUCUGUCUCAACAUCCCAAAGUAAUUUCCCAAAAAAGUCUCACCGUAUCACCCAGGCUGGAGUGAUGGGAUCAUGGCUCACUGCAGACCUCAAACUCCUGGGCUCAAGGAAUCCUUCUACCUUAGCCUCCUGAGUAGCAGUGUCAACAGGCAUGUACCACCACCUCCGGCUAAGUUGUUUUAUUCUUUUUUAGAUACAAACUCUCCCUUUGUUGCUCAGUCUGGUCUCGAACUCCUGGCUUCAAGCAAUCCUUCUGCCUCAGUCUCCCCAAUUGCUAGGAUUACAGGCUUGAGCCAUCUCACCGGCCCUAACCUUUUUAAAAAAUGUGUUUUUGGGAAACUUUUCACCCAUUGAAAAUCAGCAAUCUUCAUUUUUUGUUUUCUGAAAGAACACCUUUAUGAAUAUUUUUAUGGGUUGUCAAACAAAUAUACUUAGUAGACUAAUUUAUGGCAGAAUUCGAGAAACAGGGCAGCCCAAGCUAUGAAAUUGCACCCUGUGUUAUUUGGGAGGCUUGUGUGCUUGAGUUGCCAAACUAAGCUGCACAACUGUUCUAAGCUCUUGACUGCAUUGGCUUUUGCGUGACCAUUUUCCUUCUUGCUCCACGUUGAUUUUAGACAUCUUUGAAAAAUUAUCAUUUUCAGAUGUUUGGACAAAGAGGAAAAUUGUUGCCUUGGCUCCAAUAUCAAUUCCUUUCAUAACACUAAAUAUGCCAUUGCUACUAGAGUUUUGGUUCUCCGUUUCUCCCUGAGGACAUUGGUAUUAAGAAGAGAUUUGGCUCAAGCUACCUGAUCAUACCUAUCUUGUAUAUAGUUGCUAAUACAAUAUGAUUAGCAAGACUUGGGUAUAAUGUUACAGUGGUGUGGUAACAGAAUUCUGAUUUAUUCUACAGGCCCUUUGGCCAUUUUGUUAUUUUCCCCAUUCACGUCUAUUUUUUGUAUUUCUAAGAAAAAGAAUGUUACGGUUAGGUUAUAACUAUGUGGCACCACCACAAUUAUCAUUUUCUAUUCAAUUUAAAAUUUUGACUGUCAUAAAAUGCAAGCUUUACUGAAUUAGAAUCAUUCUGGAUUGUCUUGUUCCUUAGGACAACGUAAUAGCCAGACCUACAAGUUCUGAGUCUGGUUAUUAAUGUAAUUCAACCAGUCAGGCAGUGAUCCAGUCCAUUGUUCAGCCACUGAACCCCAACAAAAAGCUAAUUUCAUCAGUUAUAUCAAUCUUGUCUAAAGAUUUAUAACUUGAGUAGCAUUAUUUCAGCAGACUCAUUUUCCAUAGGGCAUCUGGAAAAUGAAGAUACUAUAGAAAACGAAAAUAAAAGUAGGGAAAAGAAGGAUGAUCAUUAGAUGUGUUCACCAUGUUUCCUUCCAGUUCUGUUUUUAUCAUAUGACUACACAAUUUGUUCAAGUCCAGAUAAAUUAUUGCUUCCCACAGGUCAUCAUUCCUUCCACUCAUGUCAAAACUAUUCAUCAUCAUCUCCAAAGUGUGUUUUGACUUAUGCUGUGCUUUGUAAAGGAUACACCCAAGGUUGGAGGUGAAAUAUGUGUCAGAGACUAGGAGUACAAAAAUUAGAUGUUUGGCUUUGUUCAUGGAUACUCCCCAAGUUUGAUCAUGUACUUUCAUGCUUCUGACCAUAUGCAGUCUGUUCCUUUUGUAUAAAACACCCAAUGAUUCCCUUGCACAGCUGGUUAAUUUUUCAAAGUCCUUUGAGAAGCAAACCAGUGUCACUUCUUCCAGAAUGUCUUUCUUGACUUUAACCCACUGGUAAUAAUUUAUUCAAUAACAACUCUCAUUUUUUUAGCAAUUUCCAUGGGCCAGAAAAUGUACUGUUUUGAAGUUAUUAUCCUUCCUGACUAUCCCUAAAUCAGUAUUUAAUUAUCACAACUACAUUAGGAAGCAGAUACUACCCCAACUUCCCAAAGAGGAAACUGCUGUUUAAAGAGAUUAAGUAACUUUCUUAAGGCCACACAGCCAGUACAUGGUAGAGGCAAGAUUUGAACCUGACUUCUGUAGUCUAUGUUCUAAGCCACUAGAGCAUAUGGUUUGGCUCUGUAUCCCCACCCAAAUCUCAUCUCAAAUUGUAAUCCCCACUUGUCAAGAAAGGGAGGUGAUUGGAUUGUGGGGGUGGUUUCUCGCAUGUUGUUCUCAUGAUAGUGAGUGAAUUCUCAAGAGAUCUGGUUGUUUGAUAAGUGUGAGGCUCUUCUUCCUUCGUGCACUGGCUCUCUCUCUCUCUCUAUCUCACCUGCCGACAAAUAAAACAUGCCUGCUUCCCCUUCCACCUUGAUUGUAAGUUUCCUGAGGCCUCCCCAGCCAUGCAGAACUGAGUCAAUUAAACCUCUUUUCUUUAUAAAUUACCCAGUCUCAGGGAAGUUCUUUAUAUCCGUGUGAAAACAGACUAAUACAAGUAUUGUUUCCCAAAGAGCAGCACGUGAACCACUGCAGCUAUGAGAUAAUUUUCAAUGGACAUGUUUACAUGAAUAAUUUUCUAUUAUUUCUUCUUUUUUUUGCAAAACAUUCAGAAAAUAAGAAAACAAAUAAAUUCUCAGCAUUUUGCCGAAUUUUCUUUGUAUUUUUAUUUUGAAGAAAAUAAACAUUACAUAUAGAGUUAGAGACCUCUUUGUGGCUCUCCGAGAUCUCAUUCCUUUCCAAUCCUCCUCAGAGGUAAUCAUUAUCCUAAAUUUAGUGUUUAUCAUUCCACUUCAAGUUUUUAAAUGACUACUAAGUACGUAUUUAUCAAUAUACAAUAUGUAGUAUUGUUUUACUUGUCUUCAAACUUUAUGUAAAUAUCAUACCACAUGUGUUAUUCUGCAGCUUGUUUCAUUCACUCAACAUUUAGUUAUCGAUAUUUAUUUAUUUGAUACACUUGGCCUCUGUUCAUGCAUUUCAAAUGCUGAACAUCAUUUCAUUGCAUCAAAAUGUCACUAGUUUAUUUAUACAUUCUCCUUUUGACUGACAUAUAUAUUACUUCCAAUGUUUGAUAUUAUAAAUAAUGCUGCACUUAGCAUUCUGUUGCAUGUCUUCUUGUGCACAUGUGCUAGAUUUCUUCCAGGUACAAAGAAGCAGAAUUGUAGAUAUACAUUAUAUGUAUCUUCAACCUUACAAAAUAUUACCAAAUUGCUCUCUGAAUGUGUCAAUUUCCAUUCCCACCAGCAGUUUAUGAGAAUUCCCUUUUCUCAAAAUCUUUAACCAACUUCUUAAGUUUUCCAGUCUUCUGAGUGGGAAAUGUUAUUUUGUAGUUUUAAAUUUGCAUUUCCUGAUAUUAGUGAUGUUAAAGGGGUUUAUUAGAAUAACGCCAUGAAAGGGGUUUAUUGGCCAUUUGGAUUUCUUCUUUUGUGAAUUGCUCAUUAUCCCUAUGAAAAUUAUUUAUUUUUAAAAUUUAUAUAGAGUAAAAUUCACUAUUUUUGGUACAUGCUAUGAGUAUUUGACCAAUGCAUAGAGUUGUGUAAUUAUCACCACAGACAAGAUAUAUGAAAUAAUAUCCCUUUGUAGUCAACUCCUUUCUUUAUGCACAAUCCCUGGAAACUGCUGAUUUCUUCUCCAUCCCAAUGGUUUUGUCUUAUCCAAAAUGUCAUAUAAAUGGAUUACACAGCAUGUAGAUUUUGGGUAUCUGGUUUCUUUCACUUAGCAUAAUGUGUUUACGAUUCCUCCAUGUUGUUAUGUAUUUCAAUAGAUUGUUCUUUGUUGCUGAGUGGAAUUCCAUUGUAUGGAUGUACUACCAUGUAUUUGUUAAUUUACCAGUUGAAGGGGUAUUUUAGAUUAUGAAUAAAGUUGCUAUGAAAUUUUGCAUAUAAGUUUUUGUGAGGCAUAUGUUUUCAUUUCUCAUGGGACUGCUGGGUCUGAGACUAGGUAAUUUAUAAAGAAAAGAAUUUUAUUUAGCUUGUUGUUCUGCAUGCCAGGAAAUUCGAGGACACGACCUUGGCUUCUGGCCAAGGCUACAUGUUGCAUCAUAACAUAGCAGAGAAGGUCAAGGGGAAGUGGACACAUGCAAAGAGACAAAACCAACAGGCAUCCUGGCUUUAUAACAACCCACUCUCCUUGGAAUUAAUCCAUUCCUGGAUAAUUAAUCUAGUCUUGUGAGAGCAAUAACUCAUCCAUUACCUCUAGAAGGGCACCAAGCCAUUCAUAAUGGCUCUGCCCCCACGAACCAAAUGCCUCCCACUAAGCCCCAUCUACCAACACUGCCACAUUCGGGAUAAAAUUUCAGUAUGAAUUUUGGUGAGGACAAACAAACCAUAUCCGAUCCAUAGAAGCUUGUGUAAAUAAUGAUACGUAGUUUUCCUUUAAUCUGUUAAUAUCGUAA